AGGCCGUUCAGAAAGCAGUAUGAUUGGAGGCAUUUUAAAAAUUAUGUCAGAUCUUUCUCUUCCGUGCCAUGGCAAUGUUUCCGGAAGCUUCACUUUUAUUAAAAUGAGGGUAAGAGAACAAAUUUUAAUUUGAGGAUAAAAUUAGCAUUUUCCAAGCAGCCUUGGCGGCAGCAAGGACAUAUUUUGCCAGAAAAUGGACAUUCAGGGCGGGGUGGCGCGAGGUUGGGGGGAGCUGCGGCUGAUGGACGAUUAGUUCUCUCAGUUCAUCUCCAGGCAAGGGAGUAAACAAAUUAAUCUCGGAGCGGGAGCAGCCUGGAAGAUGAUGGAAGCCUUAAGGAUCCAGCAGCGUCUUUGCUGGGAAACCAGGAGGUACCACAGAGGCCCAGGGUGGCCUUAUUGCUGGCUCUGAGAGGUCAGGCUCUGGUCUGAGGUCACACAGUGAGAAGGGGCGCUCCCGCUGGGUUUUGAGAACAAAGGGAAAGUUGGGAAUAGUGCUACUUCUCCCAGACAAGCUUUGCCAGGGAUGAAGCCUCAGCUUCCCAGCCUAUUCUCUUGACCUCCAGGACCCCCCAGUAUCACCUCUCUUGCUACAGCUUCUUCUCUUACCUCUCCUUCCCAAUCUCUGGUACCAGGUUCAUUUGCUCACUUUCACCAGCCCUUGUUUCUGCUCACAACCUUCAGUGACUCACUAUCACCCUUGGACUGAAGCUCAGACUCCUCCCUGUGACAUUCUGGUCCCUCCAGGAUAUUACCACAACCCAUUUUUCCAGUCCAAGUGCCCACUGCUCUUUGCAGCUGCAAUCAGGUGCAUCUAAGAAGGUAUGAAGGUGAAGAUGAGGAGGUGCAGGGAGAUAGUGAUAUGCCCUGAGGUACUGGGGGUAAAAACCAAGCAGAAACCAGGAGCAUCAAAGUUCUGGGAAUCAGCUUUACUCCAUCUCUAUCAACACCUGCUCUGGAGAACACAGGAUCUUAACUUACAACUCUGCCUCAGCGUCCCAGAGUGCUGGGAUUAUAAUUAUGGGCCACCAUGCCUGGGUCACAUUCACUCUUUUAAAGCGUGCAGUUGGAUGGGUUGUGAAAGACACGUGUGCAGUAUCUCCACCUCUGCAAUCAAGAUGUGCAUUUCCAUUCACCACAGAAAGUUGCUUUGUGCCCCUUGGUGGAUUCCAUCUCCUAUCCCAGCUCCUGGCAUCCACUGAUGUGGUUUGGCCUUUUUCAGAUGCCAUUAAAUAGAAUCACCCAAU